rnacentral:rRNA from 1 species
GAUGAACGCUGGCGGCGUGCUUAACACAUGCAAGUCGAACGAAGCGCUUAAACGGACUUCUUCGGAAUGAAGUUUUUGCGACUGAGUGGCGGACGGGUGAGUAACGCGUGGGUAACCUGCCUCAUACAGGGGGAUAACAGUUAGAAAUGACUGCUAAUACCGCAUAAGCGCACAGUGCUGCAUGGCACAGUGUGAAAAACUCCGGUGGUAUGAGAUGGACCCGCGUCUGAUUAGCUAGUUGGUGGGGUAACGGCCUACCAAGGCGACGAUCAGUAGCCGGCCUGAGAGGUGAACGGCCACAUUGGGACUGAGACACGGCCCAA